rnacentral:rRNA from 1 species
UGGGGAAUAUUGCACAAUGGGGGAAACCCUGAUGCAGCGACGUCGCGUGAGCGAAGAAGGCCUUCGGGUCGUAAAGCUCUGUCCUAUGGGAAGAAAAGGACGGUACCAUAGAAGGAAGCCCCGGCUAACUACGUGCCAGCAGCCGCGGUAAUACGUAGGGGGCGAACGUUAUCCGGAAUGAUUGGGCGUAAAGGGUACGUAGGCGGCACUUUAAGUCAGGUGUGAAAGGCAUGGGCUCAACCAUUGUAGGCUUUGGAAACUGUUUAACUUGAGUGCAGAAGGGGAGAGUGGAAUUCCAUGUGUAGCGGUGAAAUGCGUAGAUAUAUGGAGGAACACCGGUGGCGAAAGCGGCUCUCUGGUCUGUAACUGACGCUGAGGCUCGAAAGCGUGGGGAGCGAACAGG